GGACUACUAGGGUAUCUAAUCCCGUUCGCUCCCCUAGCUUUCGCACCCGAGCGUCAGUUGCUUCCCAGGAUGGUGCCUUCGCCUUUGGUGUUCUUCCGGAUCUCUACGCAUUUCACCACUCCACCCGGAAUUCCCCAUCCCUCUGAAGCCCUCAAGUCUCCCAGUUUCCACAGGCCUGACCCGGUUAAGCCGGACCCUGUCCCUGCAGACUUGGCAGACCGCCUGCGUGCGCUUUACGCCCAGUAACUCCGGACAACGCUCGCCUCCUACGUAUUACCGCGGCUGCUGGCAC
rnacentral:rRNA from 1 species